CAGUUGUGCUCCGGAGUGAAUCAUGAUUCCACAUGACUCAUCACUUCAGAGAGAAAGCCUGAAUGGUGUGAUUCGAGGAACGCUGACUCACUGAGAAUCUGACAGAAGAGCUCUGCUCCAGUCUACAGCCAACAACACCCAGUGUGUGUGGGCGUGGCACAGACAGGAAAUGGAGAGCUCCCUAACUCUGCACAACUCUGUUACAAAGAGAAAACAGCAACCAGAGCCUCUUGGUGGAGGUGCAGGGACUGUGCAGAGAGAUCCCAAAUGCUUUAGGAGUUUAAUCUUCAAAGCCGAUGCAAACCCAAGAACACUGCUCUCCUGUGGCUGCCUUUGUCUCUAGCUACUAUUUAUUGCUAGGACAACAAAAAUAAACUGACUGUAAGCCAAGGCAGCACAGGCUGUCCCUACCACUUGCAAGUUUCUUUCUGCUUUUCUUUUCUUUUUAAAAUGAGACAAUUAGAACACAGAAAGCACUGGGUACAAAAAUGGAAGCCCAGGGCUGCAGAACAGGCACCACACCAUUUAAAGCCAUCAGAAUGCUUGAUGCUUACGUGGCUAGCAAAAUGAUAAAGAUACCAUCCUGGCAUAAUUGGUAAAUUCUCACUUAGGAAGGGGACAUUCAUUAUUCUCAAUGGCUGAUGUAUGGGUCUGUUUUAUUAAAGUUUGUCACUUAGGAGGAAAUGAUAUCAGUGUAAAAGAUGGACAGCCUCCCUGAAUGGGAUGCUGUGUUGGCUAAACUUGAACCAAGCUGUGAAGCAUCAAAGCAUUGAAUUUCUUCUUCCUUCCAACCCUCCGCCCACUGUGAAAGCUCACAGAUUCCACUCUUUGCAGCAGCUUACUCCCAACUCUCCUCCACCUUACCGUCUAGGUCAGUCACACUCCAUCAUCAAAUCCCUCUCCUUCAAAAUGAAACCUGAAGUCUAGAGAGGGGGUAGAAAGAACAUUGUUCCAAUCUUCAAAAGGCAGGCUGACAUCAUUUUCGAUUGUUCCAAUCUUCAAAAGGCAGGCUGACAUCAUUUUCGAGCCUUCCGUUCCUCAAAAGAAAAAAAAAAAAACUGGAAGAGGAUUAAGUUUCAUGGCUCAUGAAGAUUUUGAAGCAGAGCCAAUCAAUGGAGGAAUUCAGUUAACUAACUAUGGAAAGAAAACUUUUAGAGUCCCCUGUAGUCAUAUGACCCAACUGGUUGACUAAGAUGGUGGCUAAAGCCAGCGCCCCAGGACAAAGCAAUCCUCCAUGAUUUCCUGACUUCAGAAGGGACCUUGAGGGAUGAGGGAGAACAUUUCUGUGCUUCUCCAACAUUUAUAUUCUUCUCAGUAGCUAAGAACCAUGCUGACCUCCAGGCAGUUCCUGGGGACAAGAAGUCUUAUCCCCACAACAAAAGUGCAUGUGCCGAAUGAGAAGAAGCCAUACAUCAGGUGUUUUCAUAUCAGGAUUGUAUUGUACAACCCUCCAUAGGGUGCAGAUGAGCAGUGCAUCCUAACAACUAGCUGUGCAUCCUUCAGGAUGCUUUUCCUGCAUUGUAAAGUCCCGUGUUUAUAAAAUAGGAAGGUUUGUAGUAGUGCCUCCUCGAGGGUGUCUGAGUCUAUCACACACAAUUGGCUUUGCAAACUGAAGGAGAGUUUAAUGAAUUGACCAAAGGGUGUUUUGUUGUGCCGUGUUUUUCCCUUGGCUCCUAUGAGAGGUGCAAAAUAGCCAUUCACUUUUUUAUUUUUAUAUUUUCACUUUUUUGUUUGUAUCUGUGUUUGUACAUGGGAUUGGAACACGUGUGUGCCACAGCCCAUACGUGGAGGUCAGAGGGCAACGUUCAGAGGUUGGUUUUAUCUGUCCACUGUGGGACCCAAGGAUCAAACUCCUAUUGUCGUGUUAGUGUGGCAUGGUAGUUACCCACUGAGCCAUUUGAUGAGCCCUUCAUAAUUUUAUUUUUAUUUUCAUCAAAUUAGAGACUGAAUAGUGAAAAGUUUUUAAAAGUUAGCUUCUGAGAGAUGUAAGUAAAUAAAUAGCUUACAGUUUUAGCUGUCUGUGCUUUCUCUCCCCAGCUCUCUCCUUCAGUUGGAAGGGCUGGGGUGGGCAUCAGGAGGUAGGUUCCCUUUAAGCUCUGGAGAAGAAAUGGAUGGAAUAACUACCCCUUAAUGCAAUGUGGUAUUAUUCAUUCCCAGAAUUCCUGCUUCCUGCAGUAUGGUAGCUAAUAGGGCCACAGUCAUUUGCUGUCAUAAACCUGCCCACUUUUCUGAAUGACUCAGAAAAGCUUAACUUCUCCUUUUCAUCUAUCUUUGCUGCCAAGUGGCUGACCUGCAUGCCAGCUGAACUCAAAAGACAUAGCUGUGUGUGUGUGUGUGUGUGUGUGUGUGUGUGUGUGUGUGUGUCCAUUUUCCUCCUCCAGGCAGCUGCUGAGAUUUACAGCUUGCCUGCCCUCUGCUUUUCUUCUAAACCCUAAUAAAGUUGUCCUCCCAGCUUCCACUUGAGUCCGUACUUAAAUUAUUUUAUUAAUGAGACUAAGAACCCCAAGGGAAGACCCCAAUUUCACCAGUAUCACCUAGAAACAAGCUAUAAGCCAAUUGGACCCUUAUCAGGUGACAUUACUAAUCCGAACUUGAGCAGACACUAAUGGGUUACUCGUAGGCCCUUUUUAUUCAAACCACACAACAAGCAGAAAAGCAGACCAUAAAAUUCUUCCGCUGUGCCUCUGAGCAAUGACUGUGCAUUUUUAUCCAUGUUUAUUUUAUGGUGGCAAAGGAGGCCCUUCA
rnacentral:lncRNA from 1 species